GUUAAACGACGAGAAGAGCGGCAGUGUCUGCAGCACGCCUUCCUACCUCUCCUCCGCCCGGCCCCGCUUCCGGGACUCCAGUUCACCCGCAGCACCCUGACUGCAGGUGCCAAGUCACAACUGCAAAGAAACUUCCUUUUCUCGAGCGGGGGUGGGACUUGGCCGGGUCCCGAGGCCCCUGGCCGGCGGGCUCGGACGUUAGGAGCAGAACCAGCUCCAGGUCCCGGUCUGUCCGGGCGUCGCUGCCCUCUGAAGCUCAGGCCGGACACCCCAGUCCCUGGCCGAACAAGGCGCCGCGGCCCACCCACCCCGGUAGCCGCCGUCCGACCCCGUUGCCCUGCACCUGAGGAUGUUGUCAGCAUAGAUUGUCAGGACGUUCUACAUAGAUGUGGAUGAAAGACCCUAGAA
rnacentral:sRNA from 1 species